UACGUAGGGGGCAAGCGUUGUCCGGAAUUAUUGGGCGUAAAGAGCUCGUAGGCGGUCUGUCGCGUCGGCUGUGAAAACCCGGGGCUCAACCCCGGGCCUGCAGUCGAUACGGGCAGACUAGAGUGCGGUAGGGGAGACUGGAAUUCCUGGUGUAGCGGUGAAAUGCGCAGAUAUCAGGAGGAACACCGGUGGCGAAGGCGGGUCUCUGGGCAGUAACUGACGCUGAGGAGCGAAAGCGUGGGGAGCGAACAGG
rnacentral:rRNA from 1 species